GUAAAGGAAUGGAAAAGAAGUAAUAAUCAUGGGAUCAAACACUGACGCCAAUAUACUUUUUUUCUUAGUCUUGACUGAGUCAAUGGGAUUUUUAUUUGCACAAAGACCAAAACUCCUGAGUAAGGACCUGAAGGUUUAGCCUAUGGAAAAUACCGACAGAGUUCACUAGAGGUCAAAAAUGCUGAAGGUCGAAAACAUAUUACGACACCACUUCUGCCAAAUCUACUUCAUUGAACUAUUUUUAACUCCUCACUAAAGAUGGGCAGCAAUGAGGCCAAAUGCAAGCAUGAGAGGAAGUUCUAAAUACACCCAAGCACAGAUGACAAAAUUACACAAAAGGUUUGUGCCUGCAGUAUCCACUGACAUAACAGAGGAGAAACUCCCGUUUUGUGAUUCCAUAAGGUGAAUUAAUGUAAAGCAAUACAUUCUGGAAGACGAAUUCUAGGAGAAAACAUUGCAAACAGUUGGGAAUAUCCAACAGAAUCUUCUACCUAUUUGACAUAUGCAAUUAAUGCUUGGGAUAAUUU
rnacentral:lncRNA from 1 species